GAAAAGUCAUUGGGAAUAGUUCCAUGUACAAUUGGCAAUUUGGAGCACAAUGAACUGGAUUCAUCUACUAGUUCUGUUUCGGCCUUAAAUGAUCCGGCUCCAGCGCCAAGAACUUAUGGUGCUUUGAAACCGCAUUCCUUGUAAAUGCCUGUUUUCCAUGUUUGCAUAAAAUUAUACUAUGGCAGCAGUAAAAUGUAAAUUUGGCAAGUUUUUUAUUUUUAUCGAUGCAAACAUAUUGCUGAAAUUAUUCACUUAUUAUCAAGUAAUUACACAAGUCUUUUGGAUGAAAUACAAUUUAACAAGGUAUAAGAGCAUACAGAGGUCGAAGGUUCAAGUCUCACAACCAUUACCAAAAAAGAUAUUCACGAACUUGGCUUACAACAAAAUCAAUCUUGUACAGAAAAUGUUAAAGAUAUCAUUACGUAAACAAAUAUACAUAUCUAUAAUAACUCAAACUUUUAGAGGAGCAAAACUUAAUGCAAUAGUAAGUGUGGCAUGUGGCUACAUACCGGUUUCACACACUUGAUGUGCACAUUCAUCUAUAUCGACAUGCUUACAUGAAUUAAUGGUUGGGAGGGGUAGGGCGGAGGUAGAGUAUUGCUUACGGACUCGGAAGAACCCUAUAGCUUUUGCUCAGGCUUUCUAUUUGUAUUAGAAAAUUCAUUAAAUAUGUGUAAAUAUUUAUUGAGAACCCACUAACUAAGGCGUGCUAGAUUUCUCGCAAGUUCAGAACCCAUAAAUUCUAAAGUUUGGCUCCACUUCUAGGGAGGAAAGGUUACCAGUUUUCUAAUCGCCAUUGCUGGGUGAGGGAGGAGGCUAGUUUCCGGUCCAAACAAAGGCUCGUUUUGAAAUCAAAACCAUUUGGUUCAUAAAUCAAAUAUGCUAGUAUUUCCUUUUUGGUAAUUUUCAAUAUUGUUACCCAUGCAGUGAAUCAUUCUGUGUUUAGUCGCAAGUGGACAGAUCAAAAUCUAAUAAGUGUGACAUUUAGGUCCGUACUGGUGCACAUUUCAUCCAAUAUCGUGAAUUCACGAUCGUUGAGUCAGUUCUACACAUUGACAGUCUAAGAAAAAUAUUUACACAAUACCUCUUAUUCCUUCUGUUUUACUUCCCCUGAUUCAAUUCCUCAUCUUUUUACCCAUCAAAUGCAGUAGUACAUAUCUUGAAAUUGUGUUAAUGGCAUUAAGAUCAUACCUUGGAAGAAUUCUUAAAGAGGUGAGAAACUUAGAAAAACUAUGUAGCUUUUAGUUCUUAACCUGAAGCGAUGAAUGUAACCAAGUUGUUGAUAGACUUGCCUCUCUAACCUUGACAUACCCUCAAUCUCAGAUGUUUCAUAACUUCUCUGAACUGCCUACUCAAAUCAAAGUCCUAAUGCCUGUUUAUAGGUGGAGUCCCACAGUUAUUUGUAUAUCCAACAAGAAAAAGCCAGAGAUCACUUUUGAACCACCUUGAAAUUAGAGGAUUCUCUGUAGUUGUAGAAUUUUUUGGAGGUACCCCCACCUCUAGUAUAGGUAGACAUCACAUUCAUUAUAGCUUGGAGCCUUAUGUAUUUUACCAAUGACAUUUUCCUCAUCUCUUUGUAUCUAGAUAAAUUAGCUAUUUUUCAAGCUAGGUUAGGGAUGUAUGCUAACUAUAUACCGCUCCCACAAAUCAUCUGUACUAUUGAUUUUGGAAAAUUAAUCAAAAUGCGCAGUUGAUUUCUUUUUUAACAAGACAACUACAACAACAAAAACAACAAUAAACCCAAUAUAACCCUACGAGUGGGGUCUAGGAAGGGUAGUGUGUACGCAAACCUUACCUUGUAAAGGUAGAAAUCUCAAAUGAACAACUCCACAGUCAUAUUUACACAAGAUAAGAUGAAAAAUAGCAUCUUGUCUAAGAUUUUUAUUAGCAGAAAAAUUAAAGAAAAUAGCUCGGAAUGUAACUCAAAGUCAAAACUUCUGUAACAGAUUUUGAUUUCCAAAACAUGAUGAUUUCUAGUUAUUGAACACUUUAUGCUCUCAGGACUAUCCUCUUCCUUUGAGUACAAACACAAAACAGAAAAAUCUAAACCGGAAUGCGAAAACUGACACCACUAAUUUACACCACAGAAAAACAAAAAAACAGUAAAUGCAACACUAAAGCAACAGCAUGAGAUUCAGAAUUUGAGAGGACCAACUUUCAUAUGAAACUGAGAAAAAGCUAUACAAGCAAAAUUUGAGUCCGGGAAUUCGGAAAAUUCAAAAUGCAGACAUAUUCCUCAAAUAUAAAAAUGGUAGAAAUUAGCAAAUAUUCAAUGAAGUUUGAGGUUGAAUACCUUCGCUGAAGAAGAAGAAGUCAGAGAGCGUAAAGCCUUGGGAGUUGGCAAUGAAGUUCCGUUCGUCGGGAGAGGGCGGGG
rnacentral:lncRNA from 1 species